CCUACGGGUGGCAGCAGUGAGGAAUCUUGGUCAAUGGGCGCGAGCCUCAACCAGCCAAGUAGCGUGAAGGAUGACUGCCCUACGGGUUGUAACCUUCUUUUAUCAAGGAAUAAAGAGAGGCACGUGUGCCUUCUUGAAAGUACUUUAUGAAGAAGGAUCGGCUAACUCCGUGCCAGCAGCCGCGGUAAUACGGAGGAUCCGAGCGUUAUCCGGAUUUAUUGGGUUUAAGGGGAGCGUAGAUGGGUUGAUAAGUCAGUUGUUAAAGUCUGGGGCUCAACCGUAAAAUUGCAGUUGAUACUGGCAGCCUUGAGUUCAGUUGAGGUAGGCGGAAUUCGUGGUGUAGCGGUGAAAUGCUUAGAUAUCACGAAGAACUCCGAUUGCGAAGGCAGCCUACU
rnacentral:rRNA from 1 species